UACGGAGGGUGCAAGCGUUGUCCGGAUUUAUUGGGUUUAAAGGGUGCGUAGGUGGCCGCUUAAGUCAGCUUUGAAAGCUGGUCGCUUAACGAUCAGGGGUGGGUUGAUACUGAGCGGCUUGGAUCAGGUGGCGGUUUCUGGAACGGGUCGUGUAGCGGUGAAAUGCAUAGAUAUGACCCAGAACUCCGAUUGCGAAGGCAGG
rnacentral:rRNA from 1 species